GACGAACCGUACAAACGUUAUUCGGAAUCACUGGGCUUAAAGGGUGCGUAGGUGGCGCUGUAAGUCGGGUGUGAAAUUUCGGAGCUUAACUCCGAAACUGCAUUCGAUACUGCGGUGCUUGAGGACUGGAGAGGAGACUGGAAUUCAUGGUGUAGCAGUGAAAUGCGUAGAGAUCAUGAGGAAGACCAGUGGCGAAGGCGGGUCUCUGGACAGUUCCUGACACUGAGGCACGAAGGCCAGGGGAGCAAACGGG
rnacentral:rRNA from 1 species